GGGUGCAAUCAUACCGGCACUAAUGCAUCGGAUCCCAUCAGAACUCCGAAGUCAAGUGUGCUUGGGCGAGAAUGGUACUAAGAUGAGCUUUGUCGCAAGACUUCCAUAGACACAUGCA
rnacentral:rRNA from 1 species